rnacentral:sRNA from 1 species
ACACUCUGAGUAAUCGUUGCAGUUUGU